rnacentral:rRNA from 1 species
GUUUUACGUCCCCUGCCUUUUGUACACACCGCCCGUCGCUACUACCGAUUGAUGGCUCAGUGAGGCGUCCGGACUGGCCCAGAGAGGCGGGCAACUGCCACUCAGGGCCGGAAAGCUCUCCAAACUCGGUCAUUUAGAGGAAGUAAAAGUCGUAACAAGGUCUCCGUUGGUGAACCAGCGGAGGGAUCAUUA